UACGAAGGGUGCAAACGUUGCUCGGAAUUAUUGGGCGUAAAGCGCACGUAGGCGGCCUAUCAAGUCGGAUGUGAAAUCCCUCGGCUCAACCAAGGAAGUGCAUCCGAAACUGGCGGGCUUGAAUAUGGAAGAGGGUCGCGGAAUUCCCGGUGUAGAGGUGAAAUUCGUAGAUAUCGGGAGGAACACCAGUGGCGAAGGCGGCGACCUGGGCCAAUAUUGACGCUGAGGUGCGAAAGCGUGGGGAGCAAACAGG
rnacentral:rRNA from 1 species